UACGGGGGGGACAAGCGUUGUCCGGAAUCAUUGGGCGUAAAGCGCGUGUAGGCGGCUCGAUAAGUCUGCUGUGAAAGUCCAAGGCUCAACCUUGGGAUGCCGGUGGAUACUGUCGAGCUCGAGUCCGGAAGAGGAGUGUGGAAUUCCUGGUGUAGCGGUGAAAUGCGCAGAUAUCAGGAGGAACACCAAUGGCGAAGGCAGCACUCUGGGACGUGACUGACGCUGAGACGCGAAAGCAUGGGGAGCGAAACAGG
rnacentral:rRNA from 1 species